rnacentral:rRNA from 1 species
CAACCUGCCCUUCAGAGGGGGAUAACAACGGGAAACCGUUGCUAAUACCGCGUACGAUUCAUAGGCGGCAUCGCUUGUGAAUGAAAGGUGGCCUCUAUAUAUAAGCUAUCGCUGAAGGAGGGGAUUGCGUCUGAUUAGCUAGUUGGAGGGGUAACGGCCCACCAAGGCAAUGAUCAGUAGCCGGUCUGAGAGGAUGAACGGCCACAUUGGGACUGAGACACGGCCCAA